GACGCACGCUGGUGGCGUGCUUAACACCUGCAAGCCGAACGAGUGCCGAACGGGUGAGUAAUACGUGAGUAACCUGCCCUCUUUUUGGGAUAAGCCUCGGAAACGGGGUCUACUAUCGAAUAUCGGGGGAUGGGCCCGCGGCCUAUAAGCUUGUUGGUGGGGUGAUGGCCUACCAAGGCGGUGAAGGGUAGCCGGCCUGCGAGGGUGACGGGCAACAUUUGGACUGGGGUACGGGCGAUACUCCUACGGGAGGCAGGAGGGGGGGUUAGUGCACAAUGGUCGGAAGCCUGAUGGAGCGGCGCGGCGUGGGGGAUGAAGGCUUUCGGGAUGUAAAUCUCUUUCGCUAUCGAAUGGGUAGGUGGAUAAGAAGCGCCGGCUGACUACGUGCCGGCCGCCGCGGUAAUUC
rnacentral:rRNA from 1 species